AACGUAGGAGGCAAACGUUAUCCGGAAUUACUGGGCGUAAAGGGCGUGUAGGCGGUUUGUUAAGUCUGGCGUGAAAGCUCUCGGCUAAACCGGGAGAGGUCGUUGGAUACUGGCAAACUAGAGGAUGGUAGAGGCGUGUGGAAUUCCGGGUGUAGUGGUGAAAUGCGUAGAGAUCCGGAGGAACACCAGUGGCGAAGGCGACACGCUGGGCCAUACCUGACGCUAAAGCGCGACAGCAUGGGGAGCAAACGGG
rnacentral:rRNA from 1 species